GUGCCAGCAGCCGCGGUAAUACGGAGGGUGCAAGCGUUAAUCGGAAUUACUGGGCGUAAAGCGCGCGUAGGUGGCUUGAUAAGCCGGUUGUGAAAGCCCCGGGCUCAACCUGGGAACGGCAUCCGGAACUGUCAGGCUAGAGUGCAGGAGAGGAAGGUAGAAUUCCCGGUGUAGCGGUGAAAUGCGUAGAGAUCGGGAGGAAUACCAGUGGCGAAGGCGGCCUUCUGGACUGACACUGACACUGAGGUGC
rnacentral:rRNA from 1 species